UACAGAGGGCCCAAGCGUUGUUCGGAUUCACUGGGCGUAAAGGGUGCGUAGGCGGUCGGGUAAGUCUGACGUGAAAUCUUCAAGCUUAACUUGGAAACUGCGUCGGAUACUAUUCGGCUAGAGGAAUGGAGGGGAGACUGGAAUACUUGGUGUAGCAGUGAAAUGCGUAGAUAUCAAGUGGAACACCAGUGGCGAAGGCGAGUCUCUGGACAUUUCCUGACGCUGAGGCACGAAAGCCAGGGGAGCAAACGGG
rnacentral:rRNA from 1 species